rnacentral:rRNA from 3 species
GGACUACCCGGGUUUCUAAUCCCGUUUGCUCCCCUAGCUUUCGCGCCUCAGCGUCAGAAAAGGUCCAGCGAGCCGCCUUCGCCACCGGAGUUCCUAAUGAUAUCAACGCAUUUCACCGCUCCACCAUUAGUUCCGCUCGCCCCUACCUCCCUCGAGGCCGUCAGUAUCUGAGGCAGUUCCACGGUUGAGCCGCGGGAUUUCACCCCAGACUUGACAGCCCGCCUACGCGCCCUUUAAGCCCAGUUAUUCCGAACAACGUUCGCUCGGUUCGUCUUACCGCGGCUGCUGGCAC